rnacentral:tRNA from 1 species
GUGGCCAUAGUUCAGUUGGUAGAACUCGAGAUUGUGAUUCUCGUAGUCGAGGGUUCGAGUCCCUCUGGUCACC